rnacentral:lncRNA from 1 species
AUGGACUUGACAAGCCCAAGUCAAGCUGCAGCCUGGAGGCCAGGCUCCUACGCAGAGCCCGCCUGCCACCUGCAGCCUUUCAGCAGCCCCCAGGGAGACUGCAGCCCCAGAGAUGCUGCCAGGAGUGGGACCUCUGGCCAUUCUGCUGGAAGACCCGGCUCUGGCUCAUUUUCCCAUGAGGCCUCCAUCAAGUUUGACAUCAGGCCAGUUUCCUGGGGUGUCUGGACCCUCAGGAGCCCUGGGUCUCGAUUUUCUCAUCUGCAAAAUGGGACUGACAACGAGACCCACCUAGAGGGCAGCUGGAGAGCUCAGUGAGGAAGGCCUCACACCACACCUUCGAAUCCCGUAAGAAGCUUUGUGGACAAAACCAUUUCGUGGUCCAAUGAGCCUGAGCAAGCUGCACGCUUUACUCUCAUCUCCCUACUGCGGAGUCCUGUGUCGUCUCACUGAAGUGGGUUCCCAGAAGCCCAGCAUCUGGUAAACUUUAAACCCGUGAGUGGAGGCGAUAACAUUCAUCAGAGGGGUCUCUAGGGUGAGGGAAGUCUCAGGAUGAGUCAGGAGAAAAGAAAAGAGUUGGUCACAAGUUAUUUUUGUGAAUUCAGAAGAAACCGUGCGGACGGCAGGUCCCUCCAGAGAGGAUCGGAACGGGACUGAGGAAGACCAGGUUCCGAAUCUCUCGGCUGCGCGGUGAGGGGCGCCAGGUCCCAUGGGAGUCCUGCCAGUGGAGCUCGGGGCUCAGCAAACUCUGAAACCCCUGCCGCCCUGCACCUCCAACGUAACCCCAGCUCACCUCGUGGCUCUGGCGUUUGACUGACAAACCCACAGGGCAAGGAUGCGGAUGGGAAUUAGAGGGGAGACAUACGUGGGGUCCCCGGAGCCUCCCCAUGAAGCUGGGGUUGGGUCCCAGGGGAGGGACAAGCUCAGGGAGCUCUGGUGACGUUGUGGACCUCCCGUCUCUUCCACUGGCCGUGGUUGGUGUCGGCGUCAACAGUAAAUCCUUGGGUCGUGUCUCCCUGUUGUCUGAUUCACCGUUAUCACUGCCUGGAGGAACCUGGGAGCAGGUGAGGCACGGCUCUCUCCCGACUUAGGGUCACAGCCAUUGCGGCUGUUGGCUGCUGACAUUACUCGCCCUGUCCCUACCCAGGAUUGGGCCCACUGUACACAGAAUGGGGGAAGAACGGGUGCUGAGAGUGUUUAAUCCGAUUUGUCCAAGCCUAUUUACCCUGGGACGCCUGCUCCUUAUUUUUUGGACUGAACAUGGAGGGGCAUCCCGCUCUUGCCAUAUUGGUUGGGAUAAGCUAGUUUCUGCUGCAAUAAUAAGUAACCCCCAAAUUUAAACUGGAGACCUACAAGGCUCAUCUCUCACUCACCCCAUGUGCCCAGAGCAGGACAGGAUGGGCUCUUCUCAUUGUGGUCACUCAGCGCCUCGGACUGACAGAGCCGCCACCGCCAAGGGGAAGUGGGAGCUCUGGAGGGUCUCACACCUCUGCUUAGGUGUUCUGGCUUGGAACGACACAUGUCACUUGGGCUCAAAACUUAUUGACCAGAACUAGUCACAUGGCCCCUCCAACCGCAAGGGGCAGAAGUGCAACCCUACCCUCUGUGUGCCACAGGAAGGAGAACCAGAAAGGUUGGGUGAAGGACACUGGUUACCACCACAUCCCCUUUGGAAACGCCGUAUGAGACCAACCCAGCAUGUUAAACACAGGUGGUUAGCGAACACCUUAUGGGGGAGGGAGGGGAGACCAGCCAGGAACUGGAUCCUACAUCCUCUGUGACAUCGGGCAAGUCCCUUCCCUUCUCUGGGCCUCUUGGGUCCUCCCUGCAGAUGGGGAGGAUCAGGUCUGUCCUGGUUCCACGCUUCUGCACCUCAACCCUCGAGCCUUGCUGCCAGGCAUGGACGAGAACAGGGGCUGAGACCUGCGGCAACUCGCUGAAAACCAAAAUGCUCUAGGUUGACGUGGACGUUGGACAAUGAAGGGCACGACUAACACACCUCAUUGGUUUAAAAAAAACUUUCUGUUUUGGAAUAAUUUUGGAUUUACAGAGAAGCUGCAAAGAUAGUACAGGGAGUUCCUGUGUACUGUUCACCCUGUUUCUCCUCAUGGUGUCAUCUUCCAUCUUCCACAGACAUGGGGCGUUGUCAAAACUGAGGAAUUACACUGUCCAUUACUACUCCCUAAACUGCAGGCUUCAUUCAGAUCUCACCCAUUUUCCGUUGAUGUCUUUCAUCUGAUGCAUCCCCCAGGGCCACACAGAACAGUUCCAACGAACGCCCUCAUCCCUGUGUGCGUCCCCUUUGUAAUUAAUUACUCUGCCUUUCCCCAGUUCCUGGCAACCACUUAUCUGUUUUCCAUCCUAUAACUUUUCCUUUUCCAGACUGUCAUAUAAAUGGAAUAUAUAAUGUGCAGCCUUUUGGAUCUGAUUUCUUUAACUUUGUAAAAUAUGUUUAAGAUUAAUUCUUGUUGUUGCAUGAAUCAGCAGCACAUUCCUUUGUACUGCCGAGCGCUGAUCCGCUGUGUGGACGGACCACACGUCCUUUAUCUGUUCCCCUGUUGAAGGACAUCUUGGUUGCUUCCAGUUUUUGGUAAAUAAAGCUGCUAUGAACAGCCA